UCCCUGGUGGUCUACUCGUUAGGAUUCAGCACUUUCAUUGCUGUGGCCUGGGUUCAGUUCCUGGUUGGGGAA
rfam:Ovis aries breed Texel chromosome 5, whole genome shotgun sequence.